ACAACAUUCAGGGGACUGGACCACUGACCUAUCAACUCUUAACACCCAAACUUUCAGUAACUCUAUUAUCAGUGCCUGCGAGUGUAAUUUAAACCAUAGAAACAGCCACA